UACAUUAAAAUUGGGGUGCAUGAUGUUUGAAAAAUGCUUCAGAAAACGAACAAAACGAGCGUGUAGCCAAUGAGCAGAAGGGGGCGUGUCUUGUCAAUAUGUGUGCCUGAUAUCAUCCUUUCAUUUUUAUUUAUUUACUUAGUAUUAAUUUGUUCACAAAAACCUUAUUAUUUUGUUUUCUAUCUUAUGUAGAGCCCUGCUAAAUUAGGGUCUAAUAAUUAUUUAGUUUGUAUUUUCUUUUACAGUAAACAGUGAAAAAUUAUUACUUUCAUACAAAAGAGAAAUAACUAAGAAAAUACUGUUAUAAAAAAAAAGUGUUGUUUAACCAAUGAGGUGGGUUUUUCUCUGACCUCUGAAGGUCAGAGGGCAGAGUGCGAGGGACUACGAAGUGAGUGAGAGAGACGGACGAUACGAGGUGGCCGAUCGCACGGUCCACGUGAAAAAGCACUGUAAAGCUGAAAAAGAGUCUGUGGACUGCACACAAGGACCCUGAACAGAUAAGAGACUGCUAAGUAAAAUAAUCGUAAAUGAACUCUAUGUAGAAAGCUCACAUACCCUCCGGUUGAGUGUUCCCUGUCAUCCAGUGUGGAGGUUCCCUCAGAAAUACUAAAUCCUCAAAAGACAAAAAUAUGGAGAGGCUCUCAAAUAUUUUGGCAUCAUGUCUUUCUGCUGAGCCUCAGAGAAGCUCUGCUUCAUCAUGUUCUUUUCGGCAGCAGAAAGCCUCAGAGUGCUGGAAAGAGGCAAGACCAUACCACCUACAAUGCCUUAUCGCAAAGGAGGCUGUUGGUCAUCCCUUGUGUUGCCUUUGCCAUGAGCCUGCUGUUAUUAGGUGCAGAGAGUGUCUUCCUGAGGAUUGGUUCUGUGGGGACUGUGAUGUAUUGCAUUACAAAAAACAGCCACUCCACAACAGGGAAAGUGUGAUUCAUGGGUUUUUUGAAGCUAUUCCUCCAACCUCAUGCAUCAUUAAAGGAGAAGGUGGAUAUUGCGCUCAUGAGCAAGCUUGCAUUUUGCCAACUGUGAAGGUGCCAGACUGCUCCUGUGAAGGCACAAGCUUCACUGUAUUACCAGGCAAACCGGUGAUUUUGAUUACCAUCAAUGUGCGUUUUGACUUGCAUCAGCCACUAUAUGAAUGUCAAACAUGCCAGCAGCAGUGGACUCCUGAUUCAAAGGACCUCCUUAGGAGUGGAUUUUGGCCAGCCUCUGUCAGCAAUUCAACGCUGUAUACACUGGACCUCCAAGGUCAUCGCUCGAGGAUUCUCCAGACAAGCCUUUGCAAAGCUGUUGGAGCAUCGGACUAAGUGUGGAGGAAGAAAUGGACAUAUCAACGACGAUGCACUGCAGCGGAGCUUUUUGGAGUUUUUCUACGCUUCUUUUGAAGAAGACCAGCUCUGCUGUAGUGCACCUUUCACCUGCCCAGCCUGCAUGCCGGAAAUGUUGGCUGUUUCCGCCGAUGGGAACAGAAAGCUAUAUCGCUUUCACCGAAACACAAGACACAGGGAAGAGGCACAUGUGGGGACUCCCAGUGGACAGCAGCGAGGGAGACGUCAAAGAAGGCUUCCAAAUUGGAUGAAGAGGGGAUGGAGGUUGCUGUGUGUCGCCAUGGGUUCCUUCUGAAGGCCCUUGAUAUGUACAGAGGGGAGAUAUUUGCCUACCCCCUGUAUCUUCAAAAGGAGCUCGUGCCAGCCAAGGCAAAAUUCUUUGCUUUGUAUGUGGCUUGCAAAUAUUGGCCAUACUUGGAGAAAGCUGUUCGAGUCCUUCCUGCCCUUCAGGAGCUCACCGAAAUGAAACCCUUCCUCAGCAUAAUGCAUGCUCGAGCCCAUGCUACAAAGUGUGAGAUUAAAUGGAGUGGUAGGAACCAGGAAGGAGCAGGAACAACAGCUGGAGAGGAGGUGGAGCAAGUGAACAGCUACCUGUCACGUUGUGCCCUGACUACCAAAUAUAUGUCCAUAGCAGCACGGGUGGACAUGGUUACUUUGCAUGCAGUGGGGUGGAACCACAAAGUCUCUCUCUACAUCUGGCACUUUCCACAAGAUAUGUGAAGACUUUUCAGAGACUCCAGGAUGAGACUACAAGGCUAGAUGAACUCAAAGCAGAGCUACACUGCACAGAUGAAUUGGUGUCACAGUGGCUCUCUGAUGUGAAGGAAUGGGCAGCUGAUAAGACACAUAAGAUACAUCUCAUGCCAGUCAAGGCACCACACACAGAGGACUUCAGCAGUCAAUUGAGGGUCUUUACCUUAGUGUGAGGCAGCGGAAGCAAACCCUCUACCGUCAGAAUGAUAGCAGCAAGUUUCGCCACCGCCUUUGAGGGAAGCUGGCAGAAGACAAAAAACACCUUCAGGAGAUCCAGAAAUACAAUGGUCUUGUACAAGACUCUGCCACAAACAUAGAUGUAGCUACUGUGGAGCAUUCCCUUAAUGGAGAGAGCAAUGUGUCUCAAAUAUGGCCGUGGGAGGUUCAUGGCAGUGCCAACAUUUCAAUCAAGAAACAAUUGCAUGACCAAGGAAAAAAGCAUUUUGGCAUUGGAGAUGGCACAACACUGCACAUGGUUGCAGAGCCUGGAUGUGUUUCUCAAGGACAAGAUGGCUGAGGAGGAUGUAGACAAGGGAAAUGAGGGACUUUGCUGUCUCUUAAGAAGACGACUGUCAGAGGUGUCAGAACAGUUGCAAGUUGUCCUCCAACAGUACAAGCCUGCUUUAGGUCCCGAGGCCUCUGUCCUUCUACAUGUUGAAGCAGAAGAUCCAAGUGGCCUCAGUAGUCCAGACACCAGUGAGGAUGAAGAGGAAAACACAGUUUAGAUGGAAGAUACACAAAGGACUGUGUUGAAGGAAAUGGACUCACCCUAUGUCUGUAUAUUAUUAGUAUGCUGAUUGUUUAACCACAUCAAAAUAUGUAUGCAUCCUAUAUUGUUGAAAAUUCAACCUUUGUUGACAAUUUGUCACUGUCUUUUUUUUUUUUUUUUUUUUACAAGCACAUUGUACAUUGGUACAGCAGAUUUAGCUAAUACAUUCAGUGCUUGUAUAAUGCAUUAGAUUGUAUGUAACAGAAAAAUACACUGUUUUGUAUGCUAUGAUUAUACUUUAUAUAGUAUAUUAUUACAGUUGACCGAUAACUUGUUUCCCUGUUUUGUUGGUGCUUUUCAAGUUACCUUAACCUCAGUCCAGUGUCAUUAAAUACAACCGUAUGACG